AUUGUGUUUUUAAGUUAAUCACGAAUGAAGAAACUCAAAUCCCAUUAAUCUACACUAAAGAGGUUCAAGAGAAUGAUUCAGAUAGUCAUUCGGGUAGCCCACAUGUACAAAACUGACAGGAACAAGUACGGCACAACUACGAGAAGCUGGAAUCAGAAGUAUAUCAUGGGUUAGCUGUGUUGCUCAACCAGCAAAUAUGGCCUAUUUUCUCUGCCACCUCGACCUUUGAAUGGUGUUUUGGGCUCAGGACAUACCUUGAGGUUGAAGUCAAGAAAAAUGAAGUAGGAUAUUCAUUUGCAUAAGGAGGGUCUGUAUGGGUUGGUUCUAAUCGGACUUGCAGGAAAAGAAGAAGCACUCUGGAUCUUAUACUUGUAGUGGUGUCAGAAUCUCGUUUGUCCGUAUGGCUCAGUAGCUUGAGAUUCUGCAAAAGCUAUUAGAAGUACAUUUCACCAUAAGGAGUAUGUAUGAGCAAUUUCAGAACAUUCUUAAAAUGGGUCCUAUCCUAUUAGCCAGGUUUAUUUGAGCAUAACUCCAACCGCUAAUGUUUUAUUCUUUUAUAUAAAUAGACUCAAAGGAAUGUACUUAAAUUGAUCUUAUCUAAGUUGUUUUGAACUGCGUUAACAUGACUCUCACAACCAAUUGUGGACAAGAAGAUUAAGUGGACAAUCUGUUGAAAGGAUUAAUCAUCAAAUUUGUAUAUUAAGCUUUGUCCAAAAGAGAGUAUGCACCUUUACUUCAAAAGUUCUAUUCAUUUUAGAUUUCUCAUGUCUUAAAUGUGGCAGGUAGUUGUAUUUUACUGUCAAAUUUCGACUUUGAUAUUGACACUGAGUUGCUUUCGAGCAUUUGGAGCUCAAUCGUGUUGAGAAGUUGAAGUACUAAAGACCAAGUAAGUGUAAAUUCAAUAAUUUAUUAAGGUGUAGAUGUAUUAUUUGUACUCAUAUUUCCACCUAAAAUUUCCAGGAGGUUUUAUUAGUAAA